rnacentral:rRNA from 1 species
UACGUAGGGUGCAAGCGUUAAUCGGAAUUACUGGGCGUAAAGCGUGCGCAGGCGGCUUUGCAAGACAGAUGUGAAAUCCCCGGGCUUAACCUGGGAACUGCAUUUGUGACUGCAUGGCUAGAGUGCGGCAGAGGGGGGUGGAAUUCCGCGUGUAGCAGUGAAAUGCGUAGAUAUGCGGAGGAACACCGAUGGCGAAGGCAAUCCCCUGGGCCUGCACUGACGCUCAUGCACGAAAGCGUGGGGAGCAAACAGG